GACGAACGCUGGCGACGUGCUUAACACAUGCAAGUCGAACGAAGAGCGAUGGAAGCUUGCUUCUAUCAAUCUUAGUGGCGAACGGGUGAGUAACGCGUAAUCAACCUACCCUUCAGAGGGGGACAACAGUUGGAAACGACUGCUAAUACCGCAUACAAUCCAAUCUCGGCAUCGAGACUGGAUGAAAGGUGGCCUCUAUUUAUAAGCUAUCACUGAAGGAGGGGAUUGCGUCUGAUUAGCUAGUUGGAGGGGUAACGGCCCACCAAGGCGAUAAUCAGUAGCCGGUCUGAGAGGAUGAACGGCCACAUUGGGACUGAGACACGGCCCAGACUCCUACGGGAGGCAGCAGUGGGGAAUCUUCCGCAAUGGACGAAAGUCUGACGGAGCAACGCCGCGUGAGUGAUGACGGCCUUCGGGUUGUAAAGCUCUGUUAAUCGGGACGAAUGGUUCUUGUGCAAAUAGUGCGAGGAUUUGACGGUACCGGAAUAGAAAGCCACGGCUAA
rnacentral:rRNA from 1 species